rnacentral:tRNA from 1 species
UUAUAUAUUGGUGUAAAGUGCAUAAAAAGGUUUGAUCUUUUAGGGGGUGGUGAAGAUUCCAUCAUAUAUAAA